rnacentral:lncRNA from 1 species
GGGGGAAAAGAAAAACAAAAGGCGUGGAAAGGCAGAAAGAGGGAGGGGGGAGAAAGAGGGGCUGGGGGCAGUGUAUGUGGGGGCCGAGGGGAGCCCCAGGAGAGGGGGACCCGGGGGCUCUGGGGGACCCGCUUGUCUCUGUUCCUGAGCAUCAAUCUCUACCUUCACUGAGGGGACCCUGCUCGCUCCUCGCACUGUGCCCCCAGCCCUCUCCCAGUGGGGCUGCCCCUGCGGCUGUGGCCGCGUUCUCCCGCACACCGCAAUUACAGCACUUCUUGGAGAACCACGGAGAGCCUUCGGUGGCCUCUCCUCACUCCUCUCCCGGGCGGCCGCUCUGCGUGUGGCUGUACCCGGGCGGCUGUGGCUGCGGGGAAAGCGUUCCUGUGCGCCACCCGAAUUUUAAUAUCAAUUUCCAUAUUAAUCAAUCACCCCAUCUAUCUGCUGGAUGAAGGAAAUAGUUGGCAUUCCGAAGAAAAUUGCCUGCUUUCCUGCGGUUAAUAGUUAACUCUGGAAUAGAAAGUUCCCAGGGAAAUGCGGAGGCAGAGCGGGAGCGGCCCCGCCUGCGUCCGGGCAGCAAAACCCUCCCGGGAUCCCCACAGAGCCUCCCAGGCACCCUCCCGAGCCCCCCCCGAGCCUCCGCUCCAGGCCCAGGCCCCACGUCCCCCUCUUCAGGCAAUAGCCGGGACCGGUGUAAUAAGGGAUAAAGUCCCGAGGCGAUGCGGGCAGGAGGUGUCAGGCUCCUUCCCCAUAGAUGGAACAGCAGUGACCGCAACAGGUAGCGGUGAGGGAUCAGAAAGUUGUGCACCUGCAGCCGCCGCCUCCCGCAUCCCUCGGGCCGGGACUCGCGGAGCUCCCUGCGCUCCGGGGGCCGGGUUCGGUUUGGGAGAUGUUCCUCAGUGGGAAGAUGAAGCAUCUCCACACCCGGAGAUGUGGCUCGUGUGCGCCCUUCUCCUCGCCCCGGGAACGCGGCCAUUGUCCCUGGACGGGGAUCCCCGCCACUCGCUGGGGGCGGCGGAGAAAGGUGAAGUUUGUGGUUCAUUCCCCAGUUCUCAGCCCUCGCCUCCCUCCUCUUCGCCCCACCGCUGCGGUCCCGUUGCUAUAGAAGGGCGUGCGGGGGCACGGGCUGUGUGCGGGGAGCGGGCUGCAGGGGCCGAGGCAAGUUAAUUUCCAGCCGAUUUCUCAUUACCUCUCUUAGCGCCUAUAAGGGAGAGAAAAUUAGACACCCAGCACACGUUUUGGCCACUUCAUAAAAAAUGCAGAUUUGAGAGAUGAUGUGAAAUGUGCCCUCGAGUCAAUGAUUAAAGAUAGCUGACUACAUUUUUUUUUUCCCCCCCUCCCCUUCCCUGUUUGGAGUGGAGAUGAGAAAAUGCCCCUGAGCUCUGCGGGACCGGGAAGGGCCCUUUAAUAACUGAUAAAUUGGCCCGAGCUCCGCACCGCGCCCCGCCGGCCCCUCAGCCCCUUCCUGGCCCGUCGGGGCGGAACGCGGCCCUGUGCCGAGCGGCGGCAGCGUUCAGGGUGGG